GAUGAACGCUGGCGGCGUGCCUAGUACAUGCAAGUCGAGCGAACAGACGAGGAGCUUGCUCCUUUGACGUUAGCGGCGGACGGGUGAGUAACACGUGGAUAACCUACCUAUAAGACUGGGAUAACUUCGGGAAACCGGAGCUAAUACCGGAUAACAUUUUGAACCGCAUGGUUCAACAGUGAAAGACGGUCUUGCUGUCACUUAUAGAUGGAUCCGCGCCGCAUUAGCUAGUUGGUAAGGUAACGGCUUACCAAGGCAACGAUGCGUAGCCGACCUGAGAGGGUGAUCGGCCACACUGGAACUGAGACACGGUCCAGACUCCUACGGGAGGCAGCAGUAGGGAAUCUUCCGCAAUGGGCGAAAGCCUGACGGAGCAACGCCGCGUGAGUGAAGAAGGUCUUCGGAUCGUAAAACUCUGUUAUUAGGGAAGAACAAAUGUGUAAGUAACUAUGCACGUCUUGACGGUACCUAAUCAGAAAGCCACGGCUAACUACGUG
rnacentral:rRNA from 1 species